CAUGUUGUUGAAACUUCGUGGGUGUAGCUUUCCUGACAUUUCUGGGAGAUGCAAUCUCACAGCAGACUUCCUGUUCCUCUGAACAAACAGCAUUUAGACACAGACCUCACAGAGAAAACUCAUAGAUCACAAACCUUUUACUCCUAAGAGACAACACAGAAAAAAAAAAAAAAAAAUCUGGGUACCAUUGGAUCCAGUGGAUGACACCAAAGGCACAAUCUAUGUAAGAGACAAUUGAUACACUAGACUUCAUUAAAAUUCAAAAUGUUUGUUCUCCAAAAGAUGCUGACAAAAGAAUGAAAGGACAAGCCACAGAUGAGAAAUAUAUAUAUAUAAGUAUAAUAUAUAUAAAUAUUACAAAUAUAUAUAUAUUUGAGAGGCCUACUUCAUGAAUUAUUACCCAAAAUUAAUAAAGAAUUCUCAAAACUCAUCAAAUGUAAAGAAAACAGGACACUGACUUAAAAUGGAAACAAAGACCUUAAGUUACUCCACCAAAUAAGAUGCACAAAUGAGAAAAUAAGUUACGAGAAAAAAAACUUCACAUGAUGUUAUGAGUGAAAUGAAAACUGGAGAAGAGCAAUUACUACCACAAACCUCUUAACCUCUACGAAAGUCCGAAACCAGUAACUCCAACACUUGACAACACCAAAUGCUGGCAAGGACACGGAGCAACAGGAAUGCCCAGUCAUUGCUGGUGGGAGCAGGAGGAAGCAGUGUUAACACUCUGGAAGACAGUGUGCCAUGUGCCGAUGAGCCAGCAGUGAAGCAUCACUCAGGGUUUACGAAAGAAGUUGAAAAUGUAUGGCCAUACAAGCACUUGCACAGGUAGAUGCUACACAACAGAGAC